rnacentral:rRNA from 1 species
AAACCAGCACCUCAAGUGGUCAGGAGGAUUAUUGGGCCCAAAGCAUCCGUAGCCUGUUCUAUAAGUUUCCGGUUAAAUCCAUUAGCUCAACUAAUGGGCUGCCGAAAAUACUGUAGAACUAGGGAGUGGGAGAGGUAGACGGUAUUCGGUAGGAAGGGGUAAAAUCCUUUGAUCUAUUGAGGACCACCUGUGGCGAAGGCGGUCUACCAGAACACGUUCGACGGUGAGGGAUGAAAGCUGGGGGAGCAAACCGGAUUAGAAACCCCAGUAGUCC